AUGUGCCAGAUGCGUUUGGAUCCAUGGAAUUUUCUGAUGUAGCUUCAGUGUUUGAAGAAUCUCCACUCGAUCUAAAUACUCAGAAAACAAAGCAGAAUUUCUUUGACAGUAACUUCUCCGGCUGUGAUCAGAAAACCUUUUGUUCCGUCUCUGGCACCAUUCGAGGCAUGAUACUCAACUGGGUGAUAUGGAAUUCACACUGUCAACUCCAGUGACAAGAAAAGUGGCAUCUAAGAAGCGUGCAAACACAGAGAAUGUUGAUGCAGAGUCAGUGUUAAGAAAUGAGCUGCCCUUUGCAUUUCCUGCUCCAAAGGCCUUCUUUUCGAAGAGCCAGACAGAGAAGCAAGUAGAAGGCAUAUCUUUUUAGGCGCCUACUUCCAAAGCUUUUGUGGUAUAAAGAAGCGCAGAAAGGUGCUGGAACAGCUUGUUCUAGAUGGCAUCUCAAGGCAACUGGAGAAGAGGAAGAAUCUUCAGGAAUAGUCAGCAUGGAUUGACCAAGAGCAAAUUGUACUUG